CCUACGGGCGGCUGCAGUGGGGAAUCUUGCGCAAUGGGGGAAACCCUGACGCAGCGACGCCGCGUGCGGGAUGACGGCCUUCGGGUCGUAAACCGCUUUUCCCAGGGACGAUAAUGACGGUACCUGGGGAAUCAGCCCCGGCUAACUCCGUGCCAGCAGCCGCGGUAAGACGGAGGGGGCUAGCGUUGUCCGGAAUUACUGGGCGUAAAGCGCUCGUAGGCGGUCGCGUACGGCGGUGGUGAAAGCUCCCGGCUCAACUGGGAGAGGCCCGCCGCAACGGCGUGACUCGAGGGUGGUAGAGGCAAAUGGAAUUCCAGGUGUAGCGGUGAAAUGCGUAGAGAUCUGGAGGAACACCCGUGGCGAAGGCGGUUUGCUGGGCCAUGCCUGACGCUGAGGAGCGAAAGCUAGGGGAGCGAACGGGAUUAGAUACCCCGGUAGUC
rnacentral:rRNA from 1 species